AGGUGGGAGGCUUUGAAACCAGGACGCCAGUUUUGGCGGAGCCAUCCUUGGGAUACCACCCUUGUAGUACUGGGACUCUAACCAUAGGCCAUGAAUCUGGUCUUGGGACACUGUCAGGUGGGCAGUUUGACUGGGGCGGUCGCCUCCCAAAAGGUAACGGAGGCGCUCAAAGGUUCUCUCAGUACGGUCGGAAAUCGUACGUAGAGUGUAAAGGCAAAAGAGAGCUUGAUUGCAAGACAUACAGGUCGAGCAAGGAUGAAAAUCGGACUUAGUGAUCCGGUGGUUCUGCGUGGAAGGGCCAUCGCUCAACGGAUAAAAGCUACCCUGGGGAUAACAGGCUUAUCUCCCCCAAGAGUCCACAUCGACGGGGAGGUUUGGCACCUCGAUGUCGGCUCAUCACAUCCUGGGGCUGUAGUAGGUCCCAAGGGUUGGGCUGUUCGCCCAUUAAAGUGGUACGCGAGCUGGGUUCAGAACGUCGUGAGACAGUUCGGUCCCUAUCCGUCGCAGGCGUAGGAAAUUUGAGAAGACCUGUCCUUAGUACGAGAGGACCGGGAUGGACGUACCUCUGGUGUACCAGUUGUUCUGCCAAGGGCAUGGCUGGGUAGCUAUGUACGGAAUGGAUAAGCGCUGAAAGCAUCUAAGCGCGAAGCCAA
rnacentral:rRNA from 1 species